rnacentral:rRNA from 1 species
GACGAACGCUGGCGGCGUGCCUCAAACAUGCAAGUCGAGCGAACGGAGACCGAACCGCAAGGGGAGGUCGAAGUUAGCGGCGAACGGGUGAGUAACACGUGGGCAAUCUGCCCUUAAGUUUGGGAUAACGGUCCGAAAGGGCCGCUAAUACCGGAUAAUGUCCUAAGGUCGCAUGACCAUAGGAAGAAAGCCGAAAGGCGCUUUUGGAUGAGCUCGCGACCCAUCAGCUAGUUGGUAAGGUAACGGCUUACCAAGGCGACGACGGGUAGCCGGUCUGAGAGGAUGAUCGGCCACACUGGGACUGAGAUACGGCCCAGACUCCUACGGGAGGCAGCAGUUGGGAAUAUUGGGCAAUGGGCGAAAGCCUGACCCAGCGACGCCGCGUGAGGGAUGAAGGCCUUCGGGUCGUAAACCUCUGUCAUCGGGGACGAAGGAAGUGACGGUACCCGAGGAGGAAGCCCCUGCUAACUACGUG